ensembl:lncRNA
UUGAGCGGUAGAUAUCGGCUUGCUUUUUGACUGCGAAAGUUAUCUUGACUCAGAAAACGUUCAACCCUAAAGGCAACACAGAGACAAACAGGUUCCGCCCACGUUACAGUUUUGUUAACCUUCGCCCACAAUCAGGGAGCCAGUUCAUUCUGUCGCGAUAUCUUCAUCCACACCACACAAAACAUUACUCUGGUGUGUUGACUGCCCUCAUUUAAUCUAGUUGUUUUAAGAACAGUAUUAAUAUUUUUUUGCGUAUCGUAAGCUACUAGAAAAAUGCAUUCCGGGGCAUUGGAAAGAGCUGGGUCACCGAGGAAAAGGACGCUUUCUCGGGGAGUGAGCGAGGAUGAGUCACUUCGCAACAUUAUCAAGGAGGUGAGCGUCGAGAAAUCACGUCGUCUUUGUUUAAUACGACAUUUACAUGAGGCAUAUAGUCUAUUUUCUCAAUUAUCUCUUUUUAUUGAGUAAUUUGAGAUUGUAGCAUAUCCUACUAACAUUUAAAUUUAGCCAAUUGAAGCUUAGCCUUGGCAACAUUACUAGUGGUUACAGUCGAAGAUUCAUCCUCUUACAACGGAGAGUUCGACCAGGCGUCUGACGCACAGUGACAGCAGAGGGGGGACCCUCAAGAGGAGAAGUGGGAGUCAGCAGUCUGUGGAAGAUCAGGAACUGAUGGAACUCCCUGAGAUGAAUGACCUGCAGGCAAGCUACGACGAUGUGUUGCAGGAGCUGCGUGGGCUGGAGCUGCAGCGGGAGACUCUGUUGUUCCAGGUGGACGUUCUGCAGGACGCCCUGGAGGGGGCCGAGGAGAUGCUGGCUGAGGCCCAGAGAGAGGCCAGCCACGCCACCAUGGAGGUGGAGCGAGAGAGAGAGGCGAAGAGGAAGUUGGAGGACAUUGUCAGUUCUCUGAUGCAGGAGGUGGAGAGGCUAAAAGAGGAGAGGAACACCAUAUCAGCAGUCCCAGUGUACACACUUGUCAAGGAGCAGGAGAGGGAAGAUGAGAUGGCUAGACAACAAGCCACAGAGAUGCAAAUCAAAAAGGGAGCACAGGAACAAAUCAGGGAUGCACCAAGGUAUGAGGACAAUUCUCGCCAAGAUGCACCUCUCUCUAUUAUCCGAUUGGACAGUGAGGGCCCCGGGCCCAACAAUGGGCUAUCAUCUGAGACCAGCACUGGGGGGCUGCUCGCUUCCUUCUUCAAAAAGGGGAGGGGGGAGCAGCCUUCUGACAGUCUGACCCAGCCCUCUCCUAUCCACGUUGCCCAGCUGGUGUCCUCUGAGGACGUAGCAGAUGGGGCACAGGACAGCUUCACCAAGUUCACAAAGAUAGUCAACAAGACCUUUGGGCCGUUGUCACUCGGUAGCCAGACCCCCGGGAGAAAUCAGGAGGAGAACGGGCGUGACCUCUCCCCCGACAGGAACAAUGACACAGACAGCAUCAGCGCCUAUGAAGAUGCCUGCGCUGACAUGCCCGAGCUGGAAGAGGGUGACGGGCCAAGGCUGCCCCAUGAUGAAGGCUCCCCAGUAGAUGAUGAGGGAGAUCUGUCAAAUGGCAACGAACCCAAGAGCAUCAAAAACCCCAAUGAAUCUUGCAUUCUGUCGUAAGAGCUGCAGAACUGUUGUGCUACGAAGGAUCAAAUCUUCUCUGAGAUCACUGCUCUCGCUCCGUCCGCCUCUUGAUAAUGUAUGCCAUUUAGCAGACGCUUUUAUCCGAAGAGACUUACAUGCAUCCAUUUUUUUAUUAUGUCUUAUGUUCUUGGGCCUGUACUCUCCAGUUACACAUAUAGAAGGGUAGAGUCAAUCUUGGGAGUUGUUGCCAGGCAGUGUGGAAUUCCAGUCAUGUCUACAGACUACUCUAAAGCCAAUCUCUCUCCCUCCGCAUUGUUUGGCACGACCUGCAAGGUUGCACUUACACCCCCCCCCCCUGCUGUUCGGCACAAAAGGCAAAUGACCUCUCUGUUUCUUAGUGACUGAUAAUCACACAAGACUGUUUGCGUACACUGAACUAUCAGAUAUAUCAGACCUCUUGCAUUCUAAACGGGCAAACUAUGUGAUUCGUAGAUUAAGACGAUUAUAGUUGUUUUUAUGCUCUUAAGUUUAGACGCUGGCAAGAUUGUAAUCACAAUAGCAGGCAGCCAAGGAGCUAGCUACUAUAUAUUUGAAUAAUUCCAUUUAUGGGUAUAAAACCAUAAUGUUUUCACUGUCUCACUGGCCUUCACAGGGACAUUUCAUUUGAUCUUCAAGAAGGAUUUGGUGCCUUUCCUGGCUCACCUUAAUGCAUUUUAUGAAUAUGGAAUAUUAACUUGAAAGAUGUAAUACAUUUACUGAAUUUAAUCUAGCUUUAGUACGAUACUAGCAUGAUUGAAAAAGUAACGACAUUCCAUUUAAUAGUAAAACUUUAAGGAUACCUGAUAAUGUAUAUGUACAGUAACAGUACUGCAUGCUACUUGUCAGGUCAUGUUUGCACAGUCGCAGUGAAACUACUGAAUUGGUAGACCUUACAUGUUAUUUUGUAUCUGGCAUUGCUGGACAAUGUACCCUUUGUUUUUCUUCUCUCUACCCAUAACAUUAACAUAAAAUCUGAGGAUAAUCUUUUGACUUGGAAAGAGUUACAUAAACAUUGCUACCUAUUAAUCUUUUUAGGAGAUUUUUUCAUAGUCCCAAAAGGCACCUUAUUCCCUUUUUAGUGCAUUACUUUUGACCAGGGCAAUAUAAAGGGAAUAGGGUGUAAUUUGGGACGCAUACUUUAUCAACAUUCCUGUCCAUGUUUGACACUAGCGAGGUCAAAUGAAAUUGAUCUGUUUUCCAAUCCUUACCUUGUUGAACAUUUUCAACAGAUACUGCGUUUGUAAUGAACUUGGGGGCAAAUCUUACAAUGCCUUCAACACUAGGUUUUGUGUGUUAGACUUUGUGUAUCUCAAGUCAGAAUGCAGCUCUUGGUAGUAGGGGUUAAAUGGAUGUCAAGUUCGAAAGCACACUGAAACACACUGAAAUAAUUCCUAACUUUGAUACUUGUGAUGUGUUUUCUAUUCUGUUUCUAUUGCCUGAAUUUCUGUUUCUGCGGGAGAUAGUCUUCAGAAAGUAUUCACACACCUUGACCAUUUCCACAUUUGUUGUUACAAAGUGGAAUGGAUUUAAUUGUCAUUUAUAUUAACGGUCUAUACAAAAUACUCUGUCAAAGUGGCAAAAAAAAUCAAAUAACAUUGUAUUACUGGAAAAUAAAACACUAAAAUAUCUAAUUUGCAUAAGUAUUCAACCCCCUGAGUCAAUACAUGUUAGAAUGUUAGAAUCACCUUUUGGCAGCAAUUACACCUGUGAGUUUCUGGGUAAGCUUCUAAGAGAUUUGCACACCUGGAUUGUACAAUAUUUGCACAUUAUUCUUUUAAAAAAUUCUUCAAACUCUGUCAAGUUGGUUAUUGAUCAUUGCUGUACAGCCAUUUGAGUCUUGCCAUAGACUUUCAAGACGAUUUAAGUCAAAACUGUAACAAAGCCACUCAGGAACAUUCAAUGUUGUUUUGGUAAGCAACUCCCAUGUAUAUUUGGCCUUGUGUUUUAGGUAAUUGUCCUGCUGAAAGGUGAAUUUGCCUCCCAGUGUCUGUUGGAAAGCAGACUGAACCAAGUUUUCCUGGAGGAUUUUGCCUGUGCUUAGCUCUAUUCCUAGUUUAUUCUGUACAGGCUACCUUCUUUCCACUUUGUCAUUUAUGUUAGUAUUGUGGAGUAACUACAAUGUUGUUGAUCCAUCCUCAGUUAUCUCUAUUCACAGCCAUUAAACUCUGUCACUGUUUUAAAAUCACCAUUGGCCUCAUGGUGAAAUCCCUGAGCAGGUUCCUUACUUUCCUUAAAGAAGGGUGACUGUACUUGUAGUGACUGGGUGUAUUGAUACACCAUCCAAAGUGUAAUAACUGCACCAUGAUCAAAGGGAUAUUCAAUGUCUGCUUUUUUACCCAUCUACCAAUAGGUGCCCUUUGCGAACCAUUGGAAAACCUCCCUGGUCUUUGUGGCUGAAUCUGUGCUUCAAAUUAAUUGCUUGACUGAGCAACCUUACAAUUAUCUGUAUGUGUGGGGUACAGAAAUCAAAUCAAAAUGUAUUUGUCAUGUGCGCUGAAUACAACAGGUGUAGUAGACCUUACAGUGAAAUGCUUACUUACAGGCUCUAACCAAUAGUGCAAAAAAGGUAUUAGGUGAACAAUAGGUAGGUUAAGAAAUAAGAGAACAGUAAAAAGACAGACUAUAUACAGUAGUGAGGCUACAUACAGGCACCGGUUAGUCAGGCUAAUUGAUGUAGAAUGUACAUGUAGAUAUGGUUAAAGUAGCUCUCGGAGAUGGGGUAGUCAUUUUAAAAAUCAUGUUGAACACUAUUGCAAGUCCAUGCAACUUAUUAUCUGACUUGUUAAGCACAUUUUUACUCCUGACCCUAUUUAGGUUUGCAAUAACGAAAGGGUUGAAUACUUAUUGGCUCGACAUUUCAGCUUUUCAUUUUCAAAUAAUUUGUAUAAAUGUAUUGAAACAUAAUUCCAAAUUGACGUUAUGGGUAUUGUGUGUAGAUCUGUGACACAAUCUCAAUUUAAUCCAUUUUAAAUUCAGGCUGUAACACAACAAAAUGUGGAGAAAAUUUGAGGGGUAUGAAUACUUUCUGAAGGCACAAUAUGUACUUUACUCGGGAGGUUUCUAAAUGUGCAAUACUACCUGUUAUGUUGGUGAAUGGUUAUGUCUUAUCUAAUGCUCCUUGAUGUCACAAUUUAUCUUGAACAUUUAGGUAUUUUUUUCUGAAAGCAACUGUUUGAUAUAAAAGAUGUUUUUCAGCAGUCUUGGCACAAAGUGUGUGUUAUUUCAGCAUGCCUCUGCUAAUGUAAAUUUGCACUAGUUUUGUGAUUUGCACUUCCAAACAGGGUUUGCUGCAUCGUAUUAUGUUCUAAAAUGGCAACAAAAAAAUAUGGGAAAAACAUGUUACUGAGUGGUAAUGCUUAUGCUUUAUCAUAUUUUCACCAAAUAGUUAAAGUAUGUAUUUUUUGAAUGAAUUCUAUUCUUUUAAAGAAUAAAUAUUUUGUACAGUG